UUUUCAAAUUGGACCUGA
rnacentral:misc_RNA from 1 species